rnacentral:rRNA from 1 species
UACGAAGGGGGGCUAGCGUUGCUCGGAAUCAUUGGGCGUAAAGCGCGUGUAGGCGGCCCGGUAAGUCCGCUGUGAAAGUCGGGGGCUCAACCCUCGGAUGCCGGUGGAGUACUGUCGGGCUCGAGUACGGAAGAGGCGAGUGGAAUUCCUGGUGUAGCGGUGAAAUGCGCAGAUAGUCAAGGAAGAACACCCGGUGGCUAAGGGCGGCUCCUCUAGUACGGGUACUGACGCUGAGACGCGAAAGCGUGGGGAGCGAAC